rnacentral:lncRNA from 1 species
UUUAUAGCUGUUAAUACAUGUGCAAAUGACUUUAUACAUAUUUUAUUAUUGAUAAAAUAUACGUGUUGUUGGGUUGUGUUGAGGAAAUUAUAUAUUGAGUGAGGUGUUAUGUUUAUUGUCACAGGGGUGACCAUGGCAUCUAUUGGUGAAUCACGCUCUCGUACCGGGCUGGUGGUUAUUAAUAGUAUUAAAUCGUGAACCACGCUCUCGCGCCGGGCUGGUGGUUGCGAUCAGUUAGAGCUCUAGUCUGUCUGCCAAAUGUUGUGUGACCUUAUGAGCGAAAUCGAGAGUAACUCAUAAGUGUCUAUAUAUAUAUUUAUAUAUAAGAGUGAGAAAGUGACGUGGUUUUGUGGUGACCUUAUGAGAGAAAUUGAGAGUAACUCAUAAAUGUCUAUAUAUAUAUUUGAGAGUGAGAAAGUGAGGUGGUUUUGUGAUUGUGAUAUUAUUACAAUUUCAUUUGCUUGAAUUGAAAUUGUUAUAUUAAAAUUGUGCAAUCAUUUCGUUUACUCAUACGGGCUGUCAAGCUCACCGGGUUUGUGUUGUUGCAAUCCCGGUACACUAUUUAUAUUGUGUAGCGGGAAAUCCUCAGGUCAGGAGAAUCGAGAAGGUGAUCAGGCUGCUUAGAGUAGUGGCAUUUGAGUUACAGCAUUAUU